rnacentral:lncRNA from 1 species
UUUGAUGUUCUACCCUUUUUGAACCUAAGCCUUAAACAGGAUGAAAACCCUUGCUUUGAAAAUCUUUACCUUGAGUUAGGUUGAGAAAUAUUUUGUGGUGUUGAUAAAGGUUCAAGUUUGGGGUUGUUGGGGGAAAUUGAAAGGCAAAAGAAAGGCAUUGAGCUCAAGUGUUGAAUGAAAAAUCAUGAGAAAAGAAAGAAAAGAAAAGAAAAAAGCAUGAAAGGUGAACUUAAUGUAAAAGAAAAGAAAAAGGGGAAAGUUGGAAAUGAGUGAGAUUGGUAAAAAGAGAGUUUUUGCUUGAACUAUGACUGUGUGAAUAACUCUUAACUCAAGGAUUUUGUGAUCUGAAAAACCAAUGUUUCUUGUUUGCCCAGCCACAUUAUAAGCCUUGAAAAAGUCCUUGUGAUGGCAUUUGUGUGUAAUGAUGUUGAUUGUAUUAGAUGAAUGUCAAUUUUGUUUCAUGUGACCGAUGGAUAGUACAGAGAAGAGUGACCUCCUAAAACACUUGAGCGAUUGAGUGAAACACUUUGCUUGGAAAGGAUUAAUGAAUUUCAUG